GGUCGGUUGAAAACAAAAUUUUACGACAAAAGAGAUGAUUUCAGCUUUCCAAUUGUGAACUUUCCAUUUCUAAGUAGCAACAUUCCAGCAGCACCUGCAUACGGGGUAUAUAUCUCCCAAUUGAUACGAUAUUCCCGUGCUUGCUUUUCCUAUCAUGAUUUUCUUGAUAGAGGGUUGCUGCUCACAAGGAAGCUAUUAAACCAAGAGUUCCAAAUGGUGAAGUUGAAAUCAUCCCUUCGUAAAUUUUACGGACG
rnacentral:lncRNA from 1 species